UUUAACGUCUUCUUCUUAACUCCAGAGGCGCAUAACUCUUUCUUCAUACUGAUUCUCAGAGGAGACCACUCUAGCGCUACAGGCAGAGAUCAACACUCUAGUUUUCAUGGAAAACAAUGUGAUUAAAGGUUACCGUUUUAGAUUGGAACAAUGCCAGAUCCAUGACAAGUACUUUCAGCUGGUUUUAUGGAAUAGUGCUUAAGACCAAGAAACACGAUUAUGGACUACAAACAGAAGACAAGAAGACAGUAGUAGAUGA